ensembl:rRNA 5S_rRNA 5S ribosomal RNA
GUCUAUGGCCACACCACCCUGAAUACACCCUAUCUCAUCUGAUCUCAGAAGCUAAGCAGGUUAGUACAUAGGGCUUCCCUAGUGGCUCAGAUGGUAAAGAAC